CAAGCCUCUUUUCAUUUUCUAGAAUCCAUCUGAAGCACUAUCCAUGUCUCUGGCAAAGUCAGGGAGCCCUUGUGUCUGUAUGACAUGAUCCUGUUGCUAUGGGUAACUGAGUGUUUACUAGAGAAAAUAUUACGGGUUAAUAAUAGCCUAGAUGGAAAUAAUAGCCACUGCUAGGCUUUCAGUGUUACACACCAUCAAUUUCCAAUUUGCUGAAAUAGGUGCAAUUUGCUUUUUGAGCUUGAAUGUAUGACUUUUUGCAGGCUUCCAUGAUUCUGCCCCCACACCAUAUACCGCAGACCUACACCCACAUGCUCACGUGCUUCUAAAGAAUAUUCCACUUGUCCCAAAAGAUGAUAGAGGGAAAUUGUUAUGUUGGAGCUUUGUCAUGAUUUCAACAGUAGGAAUAAUGAAUAAAUUAUAAAGGUUACUAUUUACGGGUAUUGGUUAAUAGUGAAUUCACAGAGGGUAUAAUCAAAGAAAGAGAGUGCAAUUUAUACUAUUUCUUAUAGUCACCCCAGAAGCAAAUCAUUCCCCAGAAGCAAAUCAAACUUCAGAUAUAUUGAAUUAUUUUUUCAGAAGUUAUGCCUGUGCAUAAUAAAAAUGGUUUCAAAGUAGUUGACUCACUAUGUAUUUGUUCAUUUAUUGAUUGAUUACUUUUUGCCAUUAUCUAUUCAUUUAGCAAGUUAUCUACUGAGUUCUUCACCCAUCUAGUUCUUGGGGAUAAAGACCUGCCUUAGCCCUCAAAGAACGCUCAGUAUUUCAGUGAAAUUGUGUACAGAAAUGUCCGCCAUCAUACUGAAUGCCAGCAGAGUGCAGCUUGGGAGGACACAGACCAUGACUCAGCUACUUAAGAAAUUGGGAUCCCAAGUUCAUUCCCCGGUACCAAAAACAAACAAACAAACAACAAACAAACAAACCAACAACAACAAAAAAAGAAAUUGGGAUAGAUGCGUUGAGAUUGGAGAGAAAGGAGGGCUUUGAGAAUCAAAGAGGAGCAAAGAAAAGAAAGAAUGGGUAAGAGUGAAAAAGAAUGGAGAGUAAUGAUCCCUAGAGAAAGUAUGGCACCAAACACUUUAUUAUAGAAACAUUCUUAAGGAGUACACCCUCAGAUGAGAUCCUAGAUCUCAACCAGCCUGGAGUAAAAGCCACAAACCACCAUCUCCAACCACAGAGCUCUGUUAUGGCCACAAUGGACAGUGACAUGCUCCCUUCUCGUUUUGAGGACUUCAUUGAUGUUCCAGAUUCUGCAGUUGCUUUGGGAUGUCAGGGACUUCAAAAUUAUUUGGGACUGACUUUCUUAUCAUCUACCUGGAAUAAUAAAACUAGGACAGAUUAAAUGUGAUCACAAUUUUUAAAAAUGAUGGAUUUAAGGUUAAGACAAAGUUAGAAAACUGAGUUUGUGGGGUGAGAUUAACAGCUACUGUUUAGGAUGAGGCUGAGGAAAGAAAAGGUGCUGUGGGGAGAAUGAAGAGCAACUUCUAAAAAAGACUAUAUUAGGAAAC
rnacentral:lncRNA from 1 species